UAUUUGUCCUCAAAUCGUCGUAGUCUUCAAAUUGCAACGCUGUACUCCUCUUCACGCAUCACAGAAUCGUCGUUCAAUCUCACAUCGUCCCCUUCUCUCAUGGUUGAUCGCCUUGCUCUGUCUUCAAUCUCAGAUUGUUGCAAUCUCAAAGUGUCUUUGCCCUCACUCUGCCAGACGAUACAAACAAAAUAGUAGGCAGAGAACAACAAUUUGACGGUCAUCGCUUUUGCAAACCAAUGUCUGAGGAUAAACAUGGCAGUCGUUGCUUUUGCAGCUUCACAAAUUCACGAUUCAGAAUACCGGUAGUCAUUCAAUCAAUAUGGGAAGCUCAAAUUUAAUAUUGUACAUAGUAAAGAAUGGGCUGCCUGCUGCUUUAAAAUCCUCUUCUGAAACAUAGAUUAUGUCGCAUGCUGCAGGCAGGUUUGUUUUCUCAUUCCUUCUUUUAUUGAAGGUCGGAUUCUGUCUUAAUUUUCCUACUUAUGAGUGUGGUCAGUAAUAAUCUCAUAUGCCAUAAAUGAUGAACCCUAUCCUAUCACAAUUAGCUCAGAUAUCUACAGUUAGCUCAUAUAUCUACAAUUGAAUUUUUACUUGCACAUGCAAAAUUAG